AGGUCCGGGAGCACCAGACUGCAAACAGCAGCCUCUGAGAGGAGGCCAAGUUCAGCUUCCUGGGUGGCGAGGAGCCGCAGAUGAUAUUUGACUGGGUGGACGUCGAGAGUAGGGGCCGCCUGUCGCUGGAAGAAUUCAGCUCUGGACUCAAAAAUGUCUUUGGCUCCAGCCCCGGUACCCACAGACUCCGCACAAAUCGGUCAUUGCCCUCUCAACAAGAAUCUGUGACUUCCACCUUCCCUGUCCUCGAGGAGGCCGAUGCUGAGGAGAAAGAGGCCUUCCUGGCCCUUGUAGGGCAGAUGGAGACCGGCCACUCCCUUUCUG
ensembl:lincRNA